CACCUCUAGCAUUACUAGUAUUAGAGGCACCGCCUGCCCAGUGACUAACGUUAAACGGCCGCGGUAUUCUGACCGUGCAAAGGUAGCAUAAUCAUUUGUUUCUUAAUUAGGGACUUGUAUGAAUGGCAUCACGAGGGCUUAACUGUCUCUUACAGCUGAUCCAUGAAAUUGACCUUUCCGUGAAGAGGCGGAAAUCAUAAAAUAAGACGAGAAGACCCUAUGGAGCUUAAAUUUACUACUCUUCAACUAGUAUUUCUUCACCCACGGGCACUAAUUAACUUAUACCUAGAGUAUAAAUUUUGGUUGGGGUGACCUCGGAGAACAAGAAAUCCUCCGAAAGACCAAGUUUAAGACUUACAAGUCAAAAAUAUUUCCAUGUCCCAAUUGACCCAGAGUUUCUGAUCAAUGGACCAAGUUACCCUAGGGAUAACAGCGCAAUCCUACUUGAGAGUCCAUAUCGAUAGUAGGGUUUACGACCUCGAUGUUGGAUCAGGACAUCCUAAUGGUGCAGCAGCUAUUAAGGGUUCGUUUGUUCAACGAUUAAAGUCCU
rnacentral:rRNA from 1 species